rnacentral:rRNA from 1 species
CCUACGGGAGGCAGCAGUGGGGGAUAUUGCACAAUGGGGGAAACCCUGAUGCAGCGACGCCGCGUGGGUGAAGAAGCGCCUCGGCGCGUAAAGCCCUGUCAGCAGGGAAGAAAAUGACGGUACCUGAAGAAGAAGCCCCGGCUAACUACGUGCCAGCAGCCGCGGGAAUACGUAGGGGGCAAGCGUUAACCGGAUUUACUGGGGGGAAAGGGGGCGCAGACGGCGAUGCAAGCCAAGGGUGAAAGCCCGGGGCCCAACCCCGGGACUGCUCUGGGAACUGGGUGGCUGGAGUGCAGGAGGGGCUGGCGGAAUGCCAGGUGUAGGGGGGAAAGGCGUAGAUAUCAGGAGGAACACCGGUGGCGAAGGCGGCCUGCUGGACUGCAACUGACGUUGAGGCGCGAAAGCGUGGGGAGCAAACAGGAUUAGAUACCCGAGUAGUC